rnacentral:rRNA from 1 species
CAAGAUGAGAUCUGCCGGGGCCUUGAGCCCCCUAAAGAGUCGUUCAAGACCAGGACGUUGAUAGGUCAGGUGUGGAAGCGCAGUAAUGCGUUAAGCUAACUGAUACUAAUUGCUCGUGCGGCUUGACCCUAUAACUUUG